CGGGCAGGGCUCCGCCGGCGGCUGCUUUCCCCGGGCGCUGCAGGGGGAGCUCGCGGCGCGCCGGCAUCACGCGCUCCCGCCGCAUCCCGCGGCCGGCGGGCGGGGCCGGGCCCGGGGGGCAGCGCCGGGCCGGGGCUGCCCGAGGCGUGUACCGGGGGGUCGGGGGCACCGCUCGCGGCCGGGCGGAGGGGGCAGCCCCCUCCCAGGGGGUCCUGUGCCCGCUGGGCUCCCUUCGGCCCCUCGAGCUCCCUUUGCGCGUGCUGCCCGCCCCCCCGGGUCCCGGCCAGCCUGCGGGGGGGGGGGUGUUCCCCCUUGCCCCAGCACAAGCCUCCCAGGAGACGGGCAAGGGGUGCGGGUGGCAGCCGAGAUCCCGAAGGCAUCACCCUUGGGGGGACAGUCGGGGUCCUGGGGUGCAUGGGGCAACCUCGGCGUUCUGACGGAGGGUGGAGAACUUUCUCCUCUGCCUCGCUUUCCCGGCGGGGAAGGUCCAGCAGUAACCGGGGGUGACCGUGUGCGUGGGGAAAGGUCCUCGGGAUGCUGCAGCUGGCUCGGGGCCAGCGGGGGGUGACGUGCACCCCAGGAGCCCCCAGCUCCCUGCCCGUAGCUGGGAGAUACAAGCCUCCCGUUUGCCUGGUGUUCAAGGAAAACUCGGCUCCAGGUCUCCCUGGGACGUUUUCCUUUCCCUCAGCCUUUAUGUUGUUUGGCGCAACAUUAUUUUCCGUGCCCCUAAUUCCAAGCUUGGCUCUGGAUCAGGACCAACGCACCAGCAGCAGAGGAACCCCUGGGAGAAUCGCUCGCCCCGCUUGGUAUCAGCUCAGUCUACUGUAGUGAAGGUGUUCAUAAACAGCUUUCCUUCUUCAGCUUGCUGGUUGUCUGUUCUUCAAACAAAAAAUACCACAACUUUCCUUGGAAGCCAAGCCAGACAAAUGGAACUGUGUUGGCACUCCUGGCCACCCAGCUGGUGGUUGGAUCUGUCACCAACUCCCUGUCCAACCCCAGAAGAGCUCAGCAGAAGGACCAUGGGGUGAUGCUGAUGGCAAGGGCAAUGGCAGUUGUGACACAGUCUCUGGUGGCUUGAAAGACAGGGCGGGGAAGGCCGUGUAGGAUGCUCUGUAAUCUGUUCAGCCGUGCUGAUGCCAGGUGGGUGGCCGUGUUGGCACUGUGCUUCCUGCGCCUUGGGCUCUGGGCACCAAGCACCAUCUGAAGCAGAAGACCAGACUCUGCAAGUUGCUAUAAUGUCCUUGGCUUGCACCCAGUUCAUGCCUCAACUUGAGGCCCUGAUCUACAUGGCUUCCUCUAGGCGUGAUAUUCUGCAGCCUCCAUGUAGAUGGGAGGUCUUUUUCUGGACUCUGUGAACCGCUCUGGUUUCCCCAGUGAGACAACCACUCUGCAUUUCCAGGGCUCUGAGCACAGAUGUGUUUAUUUAACUGAUUUUCAUAGGUUUCUUCCAGUGAUGCAGAGAAAGUGAUUUAGCUGUGUACAUUAAAUGAAGGCAGUAUGAAAAAAAAAAUCAAUUUAACUCCCAUCUGAGUUACACAGAGAAGCGAAUAAAUAGAAUAUUAUUUUUAAAAUGACAAUUUUGAUUGUUCCGACUGCCAGCUGGACCAGUUCCUUCUGCUGCAGAAACUGCAGCCCUGGCCAGGAAUAGUGGAGGUGUGUCUGGCUUGAGCAGCUUCAGAGAACACAAAGACCAGCAGAAAUAGUUGAAAAGUACACGCAUUCAUACUGGUUUCAGGCAGGAGUGAGGAGCACUGGCUGUCCAAGCCCAUGGCUUGCAGGGGUGGAUGGAGAUACACAUAAAGUCCUUACCUAUGACUUGACAGUCCUUGAAGGUGUGUCCAUGGGGAGGGGGCUGGUGUUCAGGUGAUGCCACUUUCCAGCCCCUGGUGCCCUGGGUUAAGGGCAGGUCCCACCCAUGCAGCAGCUCCACCACUGUCAUGACACCACAAUGUCACAUCAAAGUAGAUCUGGGCAUAGUGCUCCAGGAUAGGAAUUUGGUGGU